AACGAACGCUGGCGGCAGGCCUAACACAUGCAAGUCGAGCGAGGACUUCGGUCCUAGCGGCGGACGGGUGAGUAACGCGUGGGAACGUGCCCUUUGCUACGGAAUAGCCCUGGGAAACUGGGAGUAAUACCGUAUGUGCCCUUUGGGGGAAAGAUUUAUCGGCAAAGGAUCGGCCCGCGUUGGAUUAGGUAGUUGGUGGGGUAAUGGCCUACCAAGCCGACGAUCCAUAGCUGGUUUGAGAGGAUGAUCAGCCACACUGGGACUGAGACACGGCCCAGACUCCUACGGGAGGCAGCAGUGGGGAAUCUUAGACAAUGGGGGAAACCCUGAUCUAGCCAUGCCGCGUGAGCGAUGAAGGCCUUAGGGUUGUAAAGCUCUUUCAGUGGGGAAGAUAAUGACGGUACCCACAGAAGAAGCCCCGGCUAACUCCGUGCCAGCCGCCGCAGUAACAC
rnacentral:rRNA from 1 species